rnacentral:rRNA from 1 species
AGUGCGUUGAAUAAAUAGAUGUUUAGAGGUAGAGCACUAAAUGGGCUAGGGGGAAGAGAUUCUUACCAAACCUAAUAAAACUCCGAAUGCUAAACAUUGUUCCUCAACAGACAGACUGUGGGUGCUAAGGUCCAUGGUCGAGAGGGAAAGAGCCCAGACCACCAGAUAAGGUCCCCAAAUUAUGAUUAAGUGUGAAAGGAUGUGGAAAUUCCUUAACAGCCGGGAGGUUGGCUUAGAAGCAGCCAUCCUUUAAAGAUAGCGUAACAGCUCACCGGUCUAAUAGAGUUUCUGCGCCGAAGAUGUAACGGGGCUAAAAUCAUAUACCGAAUCUGUGGAUUUAUAAUUUUUUCGAAAAUUAUAACUGGUAGCGGAACGUUCUGUAAGUCUGUGAAGGGAUACCCGUGAAGGAUCCUGGAGAUAUCAGAAGUGCGAAUGCUGACAUAAGUAACGAUAAAAGAAGUGAAAAACUUCUUCGCCGAAAAUCCAAGGGUUUCUGCGCAAGGUUAAUCCGCGCAGAGUUAGUCGGCACCUAAGGCGAGGGCGAAAGCCGUAGUCGAUGGAAAUAAGGUUAAUAUUCCUUAACCAGAUGGUAGUGACGAAUCUUGUAAAUUGUGAGUUCUUAAUGGAUUGAACUUGCCGCGAAAAGGUUCCAAGAAAUAGCUCCAUCAUUAGACCGUACCCUAAACCGACACAGGUGGAUUAAUAGAGUAUAUUUAGGCGCUUGAGAGAAUGAUGUUGAAGGAACUCGGCAAAAUGCUUCCGUAACUUCGGAAUAAGGAAGACCUUUUUGUAGGCAACUACAGAAAGGUGGCACAAGCCAGGGAGAAGCGACUGUUUAUCAAAAACACAGGGCUCUGCUAACACGUAAGUGGAUGUAUAGGGUCUGACGCCUGCCCGGUGCUGGAAGGUUAAUGCGAUGGGUGCAAGCUCAUUUCUGAAGCCCCAGUAAACGGCGGCCGUAACUAUAACGGUCCUAAGGUAGCGAAAUUCCUUGUCGGGUAAGUUCCGACCUGCAUGAAUGGCGUAACGAUUUCUCCGCUGUCUCCAACAUCAACUCAGUGAAAUUGAAUUCUCCGUGAAGAUGCGGAGUUCGCGUAGUUAGACGGAAAGACCCCGUGCACCUUUACUGCAACUUUACAUUGGUGUUAGGAAAAACAUAUUUAGCAUAGGAGGGAGACAUUGAAGCAGAGGCGUCAGCUUUUGUGGAGUCGCCAGUGAAAUACCUCUUUUGUUUUUCUUGAUAUCUAACUGAUAGCCGUCAUCCGGCAUCAAGACAUUGUAUGGUGGGUAGUUUGACUGGGGCGGUCGCCUCCCAAAUAGUAACGGAGGCGUGCGAAGGUAAGCUCAGAACGGUCAGAAAUCGUUCGUAGAGUGCAAUGGCAUAAGCUUGCCUGACUGUGAGACUGACAAGUCGAGCAGAGUCGAAAGACGGUCAUAGUGAUCCGGUGGU